AUGGUUAAGUUAGAAAGGGCGCACGGUGGAUGCCUUGGCACUAGGAGCCGAUGAAGGACGGGACGAACACCGAUAUGCUUCGGGGAGCUGUAAGCAAGCUUUGAUCCGGAGAUUUCCGAAUGGGGAAACCCACUGCUCGUAAUGGAGUAGUAUCCAUACUUGAAUACAUAGAGUAUGAGAAGGCAUACCCGGGGAACUGAAACAUCUAAGUACCCGGAGGAAGAGAAAGCAAAUGCGAUUCCCUGAGUAGCGGCGAGCGAAACGGGAACAGCCCAAACCAAGAGGCUUGCCUCUUGGGGUUGUAGGACACUCUAUACGGAGUUACAAAGGAA
rnacentral:rRNA from 1 species